rnacentral:rRNA from 1 species
UACGGAGGGGGCUAGCGUUGUUCGGAAUUACUGGGCGUAAAGCGCACGUAGGCGGACUGUUAAGUCGGGGGUGAAAUCCUGGGGCUCAACCUCAGAAUUGCCUCCGAUACUGGCAGUCUCGAGUGCGGGAGAGGUGAGUGGAAUUCCCAGUGUAGAGGUGAAAUUCGUAGAUAUUGGGAAGAACACCAGUGGCGAAGGCGGCUCACUGGCCCGUAACUGACGCUGAGGCGCGAAAGCGUGGGGAGCGAACAGG